rnacentral:rRNA from 1 species
UACGUAGGGGCAAGCGUUUGUCCGGAAUCAUUGGGCGUAAAGCGCGUGUAGGCGGCUGAGUAAGUCUGCUCUGAAAGCCCGGGGCUCAACCCCGGGAGGCGGGUGGAUACUGCUCAGCUCGAGUCCGGAAGAGGAGUGUGGAAUUCCUGGUGUAGCGGUGAAAUGCGCAGAUAUCAGGAGGAACACCAAUGGCGAAGGCAGCACUCUGGGGACGGUA